GUUUUAAAGAUAUAAGCCAAAAUAUACAUUUUACCCCUGUGUUCUAUUUUUAGCUAUGGCGGCCAUCUUGGCUUGAUGGCCAGGUCAUCGGACACAUUUUUUAAACUAGAUACCCCAAGGAUGAUUGUGGCCAAGUUUGGUUAAGUUUGGCCCAGUAGUUUCAGAGGAGAAGAUUUUUGUAAAAGUUUACGGACGACAGACGACGGACGCA
rnacentral:lncRNA from 1 species